GCUAGUCUGGUGUAGUGGUUUGAGCAUUGGACUACAACUCUGGAGCCCAGGGUUCGAUUCCUUGUUCCGGCC